GGCGUGCCUAAUACAUGCAAGUCGAACGAACUCUGGUAUUGAUUGGUGCUUGCAUCAUGAUUUACAUUUGAGUGAGUGGCGAACUGGUGAGUAACACGUGGGAAACCUGCCCAGAAGCGGGGGAUAACACCUGGAAACAGAUGCUAAUACCGCAUAACAACUUGGACCGCAUGGUCCGAGCUUGAAAGAUGGCUUCGGCUAUCACUUUUGGAUGGUCCCGCGGCGUAUUAGCUAGAUGGUGGGGUAACGGCUCACCAUGGCAAUGAUACGUAGCCGACCUGAGAGGGUAAUCGGCCACAUUGGGACUGAGACACGGCCCAAACUCCUACGGGAGGCAGCAGUAGGGAAUCUUCCACAAUGGACGAAAGUCUGAUGGAGCAACGCCGCGUGAGUGAAGAAGGGUUUCGGCUCGUAAAACUCUGUUGUUAAAGAAGAACAUAUCUGAGAGUAACUGUUCAGGUAUUGACGGUAUUUAACCAGAAAGCCACGGCUAACUACGUGCCAGCAGCCGCGGUAAUACGUAGGUGGCAAGCGUUGUCCGGAUUUAUUGGGCGUAAAGCGAGCGCAGGCGGUUUUUUAAGUCUGAUGUGAAAGCCUUCGGCUCAACCGAAGAAGUGCAUCGGAAACUGGGAAACUUGAGUGCAGAAGAGGACAGUGGAACUCCAUGUGUAGCGGUGAAAUGCGUAGAUAUAUGGAAGAACACCAGUGGCGAAGGCGGCUGUCUGGUCUGUAACUGACGCUGAGGCUCGAAAGUAUGGGUAGCAAACAGGAUUAGAUACCCUGGUAGUCCAUACCGUAAACGAUGAAUGCUAAGUGUUGGAGGGUUUCCGCCCUUCAGUGCUGCAGCUAACGCAUUAAGCAUUCCGCCUGGGGAGUACGGCCGCAAGGCUGAAACUCAAAGGAAUUGACGGGGGCCCGCACAAGCGGUGGAGCAUGUGGUUUAAUUCGAAGCUACGCGAAGAACCUUACCAGGUCUUGACAUACUAUGCAAAUCUAAGAGAUUAGACGUUCCCUUCGGGGACAUGGAUACAGGUGGUGCAUGGUUGUCGUCAGCUCGUGUCGUGAGAUGUUGGGUUAAGUCCCGCAACGAGCGCAACCCUUAUUAUCAGUUGCCAGCAUUAAGUUGGGCACUCUGGUGAGACUGCCGGUGACAAACCGGAGGAAGGUGGGGAUGACGUCAAAUCAUCAUGCCCCUUAUGACCUGGGCUACACACGUGCUACAAUGGAUGGUACAACGAGUUGCGAACUCGCGAGAGUAAGCUAAUCUCUUAAAGCCAUUCUCAGUUCGGAUUGUAGGCUGCAACUCGCCUACAUGAAGUCGGAAUCGCUAGUAAUCGCGGAUCAGCAUGCCGCGGUGAAUACGUUCCCGGGCCUUGUACACACCGCCCGUCACACCAUGAGAGUUUGUAACACCCAAAGUCGGUGGGGUAACCUUUUAGGAACCAGCCGCCUAAGGUGGACAGAUGA
rnacentral:rRNA from 2 species